UUUUAAUCAAACUGGCAAAAAAAAUGUUAAUCUACAAAAAUGGAACUAGGUAAAUAUUACACAACAACCUUUUUUCCUCUUUUUUUUUAUUCCAGCUUUCAGUCAAACCUCUACACAAAACCAAAAUUCUUGGUUUUAAUUGCUAGCAGGAGUUUUUGUUUAAGGAUCUUUUUAGAAGAAUAUAGUGGC